rnacentral:lncRNA from 1 species
UUCUACAAGUAUACAGAAACCAGCUGUUCCCUCGUUCAUUUUUAUGAUAUCCCAUUAGCUUCUUUUGUCUCCUUUCUUUCACUUCUAUUCUCCUGUUUGCAAUUAUUCAAGCCACAUCUAACAAAUCUAUCUAUCAUCAGAAACUUUUCGUUUCAUAAGCCCAGAAUCUCUCACUUGGAAGCAUCUGUUUUACCACACUUUGGUAAGUAAUCUUCUAUAUAUUUAUUAUGUUCUUAAAUUAUUUAGAAAAUAAUUGGAUGAGUUGUGGAAUAUGUUAGCUAAUAUUGUCACAGAUGAUUUAUCUUUGCUUUAUAAAUCUUCUAUUUUUAUCAUUAUAAGGUUUUAGAGGAAGGAAAACACUUGCAUAAACAAGUACCAAAUUAAUCAUCACGCUGAAAAUUAAUGAAUGAGAGGAUAAAAUAAUACAAUAUUAUAUUCACUUCAUUUUGGCAAUGGUUUAGCCAUUAUGAAAAUUAAAAUCAUAAAAAAUCAUUAAUUAAAAAAAUUAGAGAAAAAAAAAAAGAAGCAAAGGUUAGGCACUGUUAAACUUGGCACGCGCAGUUGGGCUCUUAAUUUUUUUUUUGUUUUGCUAGGAAAUAUAUGUCAAAUUUUUUCUGUCAUAGCAACAAAAAUAUGUUGCUUCACACAAAAUAGAAGUUUAUUUUAUAAAUUCACCUUAGAUAAUGCCUUUAGCACUAUCACCUUUUAGAGUGUGCUUUAAGCCCUCGAUCUUAGAUAGCACGUUGUUUAGCCCCUACCUCCUUUAGAUGGUGUUUUUCGCAUUAUCACCUUCUGAGUGCGCUCUUGAACCCUUGUCUUCUAGAUAGUGCGCUGUUUAGCCCCUAUCUCUUUUAGAUGGUAUUUUUAGCACUAUCAUCUUCUAAUUGCACCUUAAGCCUUGCCUUUCAGAUAGCAUGUUGUUUAGCUCCUAUCUUUUUUAAGUAGUGUUUUUGACACUAUCAUUUUAUAAGUGCGCCUUUGAUCCCUCACCUUUUAAAUAAUAUGUUCUUUAUCCCUCAUCUCUUUUAGAUAAUGCUUUUAGAAUUAUUAUCUCUUAGAGUGCGUCUUUGAGCCUUUGCCUUUUAGAUAUUGCGUUGUUUAACCCCCUAUCUCCCUUAGAUAGUGCAUUUGGCAUUAUUGCCUUUUAGAGCGCACCCUUAAGUCCUUACCUCCUAGAUAAUGUGUUGUUUAGCCUCAAUCUCCUUAAAAUAGUGUUUUUGGCACUAUCAUCUUUUGAAUGCGCCUUUGAGUCCUUCGCUUCUAGAUAGUGUGUUGUUUAACCUCUAUCUCCUUUAGAUAGUGCUUUUGGCACUAUCGCAUUCUGAGUGUGCUGUUGAAUCCUCACCUUCCAAAUAAUAUGUUGUUUAGACCUUAUCUUCUUUAGAUAGUACUUUUGGCAUUAUCACCAUUAAAAGUGUGUCUUUGAGCCCCUUGUUUUUUUGAUAAUGUACUAUUUUAUCGUUAUCUCUCUUAGAUAUUUGCUUUUGGCACUAUCACCUAUGAAGUGUGCUUUUGAGCCCUUGUUUCUAACAAUUUUGUUAGAUAUGUCAUUCUUGGAGAUAUAUUUGGAUAUCUCAUCACUUUAAGAAGGAUUAACCACGUUUUGAUUUGGUAAAUCCACAAAUUUCCUUUGAAGUUUUUUUAUCCUAACUUUAAAAAAAUUUCAAAUCUUUUUUUUCUUUAUAGACUUACUAUCCAAAGUCUCUUAUGAAAAAUUAUGUCAUAAACAUUAUAAAAAGAGGACAAAUGUUAUAACCCAAAUUUAGGUUCCCAAAAUUAUAAUUUUCUUUUUUAAAAUAAUAAUAAUAAUAUAAAAAAAAAGUUGAAGAAAAAAAAAUAGUAGGAGGAAAAGUAACUUGGUUAGCAAGAACAAUUUGAAGUAGGAUUUAUAUGAAUAAAUUAGAGAUGGGAAAACUAAACUGGAUCUCUGACAUAUUGGAAACUCAAUUUCACUUUUGAAGGAUCUAAAUGUGAAAGACAAUGCGAAUUCAAGGUUAACUUAAGUGAAUCUUAGAUGAAUUUGUAUAAAAAUUAAGAUUGAGAACUUAAUUAGAUUUUGAUAGGUUGAUCUGAUCUAAUCAUAAGCCCAAUUAAAGAUUUAAUUAAGUUUAAUUUAGGCUAUAAUUAAACAAAUUAACUACGAAUUUAAUGAGUCAAAUUAAUUUUAUUAAGAACUUAAUCGGUGAAAAAUUAAGUUUGAAAAUCUAAUUUGAGUUUAAUUGAGAAAAUUUCAAUUUUGAAGGACCAAAUUUAAUUCUUACAAACUUAAUCGAAUGAAAUUGCAAACAAAUCAAAGUUUAGGGGUGAGUUAAGAAUUAAUUUGAAGGAAUUCAGAACGAUCACAGUGUAAUAAGCAAUAGAAACUAGGGGUUCAAUAAAAAAUUGGUAAGGGCAAAAUUGAGAAAAUUCCUGGGAAUUAUACUCAAUCAAGGGGGCUAAUCGCAGAAUUUCAAAUGUCGUUUCGAUUUAAAUAAAACACCACGUUUUUUCUAAUACAAUGUCGUUUUGUGUAAAAAAACACACAGAAGAGGAAUGGCGCCGUUUUCUAAAACAGCGCCGUCAACCUUUCCCCUGGAAACUACAAAAAUGGCAGCCCUUUUUAUUCAUUUAAACCUCCUUCAUCCCUUCCCCUACAUAACAAUUAUACAUAACAUUAUUAUAUUCAUAUAAAUAUAUAUUUAUUAUUAAUAAAGAUUUAAUUUUAUAAAUUAGCAACAUUAAUUAAUUGGCCCUAUAAUUGAAUCACCUGCAUUCCUACACAACUUCGUAUACAGAAACCAGCUGUUCCCUCGUUCAUUUUUCUGAUUAGCUUCUUUUGUCUCCUUUCUUUCACUUCCAUUCUCCUGUUUGCAAUUAUUCAAGCCACAUCUAACAAAUCUAUCUAUCACCAGAAACUUUUCGUUUCAUAAGCCCAGAAUCUCUCACUUGGAAGCAUCUGUUUUAC